UAUGUCAUACGUCAAUUUUCCCAUCCAGAUCGUGUUGCGAUUAUUUUGGUAAUGGAGGAAUUUAGAAGACAAUGUCAAAAGACGAUCGAAAGGAGUAAUCAUUGCAGUUUCACAGUCAUCAGCCCGCCUUUCUCACAUGCCGAUUUGUUUGGUGAUUUAGUGUUCUCCAUGUUCUUUCGGCGAUAAAGGUCGUUUUACGGAGUCGCCCAUGUCGACCGGGGUUUUCCAUGGUUUCCCUCGGUCACCAGGAGUGUCUGCAAAUGAAGUACAGCUCCUGGGGCAAAUGCGACGUGAUUGGAGGAAGACGGCCCAUGGUAACGCAUAAAAAUGGCAGUAGAAAACCGGAUAAGCUCUACAAAUACUGUAUCCAAGGAAAUAUAUAUCUAUAUUAUUGUUA